UGAGGAAUAUUGGUCAAUGGGCGCAAGCCUGAACCAGCCAAGUAGCGUGCAGGAAGACGGCCCUAUGGGUUGUAAACUGCUUUUAUACGAGAAUAAUNUGAUGCACGUGUGCGUUAUUGCAUGUAUCGUAUGAAUAAGGACCGGCUAAUUCCGUGCCAGCAGCCGCGGUAAUACGGAAGGUCCAGGCGUUAUCCGGAUUUAUUGGGUUUAAAGGGAGUGUAGGCGGUUUGUUAAGCGUGUUGUGAAAUUUAGAUGCUCAACAUUUAACUUGCAGCGCGAACUGUCAGACUUGAGUACACGCAACGUAUGCGGAAUUCAUGGUGUAGCGGUGAAAUGCUUAGAUAUCAUGAAGAACUCCGAUUGCGAAGGCAGCAUACGGGAGUGUAACUGACGCUUAAGCUCGAAGGUGCGGGUAUCGAACAGGAUUAGAUACCCUGGUAGUCCGCACAGUAAACGAUGGAUGCCCGCUGUUAGCGCCUGGCGUUAGCGGCUAAGCGAAAGCAUUAAGCAUCCCACCUGGGGAGUACGCCGGCAACGGUG
rnacentral:rRNA from 1 species